GGGGAAUAUUGCACAAUGGGCGAAAGCCUGAUGCAGCGACGCCGCGUGAGGGAUGACGGCCUUCGGGUUGUAAACCUCUUUCAGCAGGGACGAAGCGUGAGUGACGGUACCUGUAGAAGAAGCGCCGGCCAACUACGUGGCAGCAGCCGCGGUAAGACGUAGGGCGCAAGCGUUGUCCGGAUUUAUUGGGCGUAAAGAGCUCGUAGGCGGCUCGUUGCGUCGGCUGUGAAAACCCGCAGCUCAACUGUGGGCUUGCAGCCGAUACGGGCGGGCUGGAGUUCGGUAGGGGAGACUGGAAUUCCUGGUGUAGCGGUGAAAUGCGCAGAUAUCAGGAGGAACACCGGUGGCGAAGGCGGGUCUCUGGGCCGAUACUGACGCUGAGGAGCGAAAGCGUGGGGAGCGAA
rnacentral:rRNA from 1 species